GAUGAACGCUAGCGGCAGGCCUAACACAUGCAAGUCGAGGGGCAGCACAUAAAGUGGUUUACUACUUUUGGUGGCGACCGGCGGACGGGUGCGUAACGCGUAUGCAACCUGCCUCCAACAGGGGGAUAACGGAGAGAAAUUUCCACUAAUACCCCAUAAUAUCAGAAUCGGCAUCGGUUUUGGUUGAAAACUCCGGUGGUUGGAGAUGGGCAUGCGUUGUAUUAGAUAGUUGGUGAGGUAACGGCUCACCAAGUCAACGAUACAUAGGGGGACUGAGAGGUUAGCCCCCCACACUGGUACUGAGACACGGACCAGACUCCUACGGGAGGCAGCAGCGAGGAAUAUUGGUCAAUGGGGGCAACCCUGAACCAGCCAUGCCGCGUGCAGGAAGGCGGCUCUAUGAGUUGUAAACUGCUUUUACGAGGGGAUAAAUCGGUGUACGUGUACACCGUUGAAGGUACCUUGGGAAUAAGGAUCGGCUAACUCCGUGCCAGCCGCCGCCGUAA
rnacentral:rRNA from 1 species